UUAUUACGCCGCGUCUUUAACGCCACCUCCGUCGCUUUAAAGGAAUCUUCUUGCUCUUUUGCUGCCGCAGCUGCCGCCUUCUGAGCCCUGCCUUCGAUUCCAUUCCCGGUGACGCUUUCGUCUCUUUCCGAAGAAGACCGGCGGAAUAAAGAGGGCCCUCUUUUCGGGUCACGCGACUCCCGAGUCCCCUCUCUUUACGGUUCCCCUCGGGAAGUUUCUCCCGAACGCGAAGGCGUAAUCCGGAGGCGAUGGUUGGGGGAUCGGACGAGGGGUUCUUGGCGUCCUGCGAUACGGUUUUCGAUCGGUUGUAGAGGCGAAAGGAGCCUUCUUUUUCUGUUUCUUUGGGUCGAUUCUUGCGUGCUUGGUGGUUAAUUUGGGUUGUGGGUGUUUGUGGUGAUUGCUGGUGACGGGAUGGGGCCCCUCGUUCCUUUUGCGUAGUCGAUUCUUGGUGAUUUUUGGUUUAGGAAUUCUAUGAUUUGGGGUGUUUUGGGCUUCGUAAUCGUGGGUUUGGAUCAAUUGGUGUUAAGAUCUAAGUGGACGAGCAGGAAGCUGCGAUUUCUCCGGUAAGGAUUUUAGAGUUGGGUUGAUUUGGAAGGAGUGGCUGACAGAUUCUCUGAAAAUUUGGCUUUUGGUUCCGUGUUGGAUUUGGUGAGUUAUGAGUUAAUUCUUUGGUUCAACACGGAUGAACGCUGAGAAAUAGUUCUUUUUUUUAAUCGAAAAAGAAGUUAUUUUUUGUGUGUGUUUUCGAAGGGUUUAGAAGACACGGAAGCUGAAAAAUGGAGAACAUGAAUAGCUUUGAAGAAUCGUUCGAUAAUUCCGAUGUAGAAGAUGAAUUCCAAAGCUGUUGUACAGAAGACGAGGAGUGGCACGACACGGAGGAAUCUUUGGCCGAAGGGUUCAAGGAUGAUCUCGAUGAACUUUCGUUAAGGAUGUUCUUCAAGGGUGUCUCUGCCUCGGAUUUGCACAGUAAAGAAUCUAGGGUUUCUGGAAUUGGAGUAGUAAUGGAAAGGUCUCCUGGGAUUCCCUUAAUUCAAGUGCAGAAGAAGCUCGAUUUCCAUGUAGAAGCAUUGGUGGCCGAGCACUUGGCACUGAUGGAUGGUCUAUUGGCAGCUCUGCAGAAUGGUGCCCGAAGGCUCUAUGCGUUCACGGAUUCAGAGAAAGUUUAUUAUCAGAUAGCAGAAACAGAAAUACUUGAUGACCAACUUUUGGUAGCUCUAGGACACAGAAUUCUAGAACUUGCUGAUCAACUAGAAGAUUUUGACUUACAACUUGUUUCUAGUUUUGAACUAGAGAGGCCAUUGCGCUUGGCCAAAGAAGCAAUUGGUGACUGUGCAAUGGACACUUGUUCUAUCUGUAGUGAGGAAAAGAUAAGUUCCAAGAUGAUAAAGAUAAAUUGUUCUCACAAAUUUUGUUCUGAUUGCAUGUUUAUAUAUGUUGAACACAAGUUAAGGACCUUACAGGUUCCUAUAAGAUGCCCACAAGCGAGAUGCAGAAAUUUUAUUUCAGUCAGUGAGUGCAAGUCCUUUCUUCCUGUUGCUAGUUAUAAGAUGCUCGAGAGAGCUGCAAUAGAAGCAGAUGCUCAUAAUGGAGAUCGAAUCUUUUGCCCGUUUCAGAAUUGUUCAGGGUUGAUCAAUUGUGUCAAUCAUUUGUCUUCUAGAGCAAGCUCAUCAACUCAGCCAGACAUCAACUGUGUUGAGUGCCCAGAGUGUCACAGAGAUAUAUGUAUUGGCUGUCGUGUACCAUGGCAUUCUUUGAUGACAUGUGAUGAGUAUCAGAACCUACCUGCAGAAGAGAGAGAUGCAAGGGAUAUCACUUUGCAUCAAUUGGCACAAAAUGCUAGGCAGAGACGCUGCCAGCAGUGCAGGCAAAUGAUUGAGCUCGCAGAUGGGGGCUACCACAUGACCUGCUGGUGCGGGCAUGAGUUCUGCUAUUUAUGUGGUGCUGAAUAUAGGAAUGGGAUUCAGACAUGUCAAUGUGCCUUUUGGGGUGAGAAUAGCCUGGAAUCCUCUGCAACGUCGAAUCAAGAGUCAGAGCUGUGGACUUGGGAGUCUUUUGAUUCUCUGCCGACGGUUAUGGAUGAGUACUCGGAGCAAGAAAGAGCACAACUGGCUCUGAUACAAAGGUUUCUUGCUGGAGGAUUCAGCCUUAGUGAACACCACCACCCUUCCCAAUCACCCCCUCGGUGUUCUGACUCAUACAUGGAUACCAUGAGAGACCUCCACCAGCUCCCAUGGCUCGAGAGGUUUGUAUCUGUGAUUAGUGAUAGCUACCAUGAGGAUUUUGUCCAGUGAAUUCAGUUCAGCAUCCUGCUGCACACUGUUUCUGGCUAAUAAAUGCUGGCAUUUCUCAAAACAUGGGGUAAAGGCGUACAGGUUGGCUAGUGGCAGACAAGGCUGACAGAUGAUGAGGGAAAUCAUCCUUAAAAGUGCCCCAUAUGUGAUCCUAUUCUUCCUGUAAGUAGCCAAGGAACAAUGAUAAUGAAAUGUUCUCAACCUAACACAAAACAAAGUCAUAGAUAACCCUAGAUUUGUUGCUGUGUGUGCUUAGCAGGAGAAUGGGCAAUAAAUAAUUACAUCAACUACUCCUUUUAUAUAAGAGAUAGUUAUCACAAUGUUCUUUAAAGUUAUUUGCCCAACUGAGUGCAAACAGAAGGUACCUUAAUAAUUGAGCACUUUAUAUCCUGUGAAUAGUUGCAGUUCUGGUGCGCUUGUCCUUGGAUGUCUGCUCCAAGAUGGCUUUCUUGACCAAGAAAAGAUUAGCAUUGAGGACAGACAUCCUAUGAUGAAUUCUCAGUAUCUUUUUCUCAAACUUGCCCCUGCCUCCCAUCUUCCUCUCUCCAAUACAUCUUCUAGUUGAUACUAACAGAGUAAAAGAAACUCACUCACUGAAUGCAAUUUUACACAUCUGAAAGUUAAUAGAAUGUCCUCAGGAAUUAGAAAUGCUUCUCAAUUUCAUAAAUUUUUCUCAAGAAUUAUUAGGAUCAUCUGUUGAUUGGACUGAAUGAUUUUUCCAUGAGUUGAUAAGGAUAUAUAAAAGGAGUAAAUGAGAAGGCCUCUAUAUUCCUAAUGCUCAAUAAGGAGCUGCUGUAAUUGUUGGAAUCUGUUGUAUGUCUACACCAUAUGUUUUAGUAGCUACUCUAUGCUUUUAAAAAUAUUUCUGAUAUAAAUCACACAGAACCAACUACAAGGGAACAAAUGUUUACAAUUAUAGCAUAAGUAAUAUGUAGUAUUGUACUAUGAUAUAUAUAUAUAUAUAUAUAUAUAUAUAUAUAUAUAUACACUUUAUAAACAAUAUUCUUUUGUUCAAUUUCAUUUCUUUUAUUAUAUAUAUUUAUUUAUCUUUAUACUUAAUAUGACUACACAAAAUAAUUGAAGUAAAAUACAUAAAACUAAGGAGGAGACAGAAUGAUGACUAAUAUAGUGUGACUAAUAAAAGGUGGAGCAAAAGGGUGUGUUGAUAUUUUUUAGAAAGAGGAGGUGCUAAGAUGGAAUAAUAUUUUAUUUGGAAAUUAAUAUUGUUCCCAUUACCAAUUAUGAUUGUCAUCAACUAGUUUAAGUUAUUGUAUAUAAUGAAUUACCUAAAAUAUGUUUAUUAUUAUUAUUUUUCAAUCAGACUAGUUUUCUACAUGAUAUCAUAUAUAUAUAUAUAUAUAAUCUUUAACUAAUAAUCAUAUCAUGGUCAGUUGGCUUUGAUUAAUUACUAACGCAUGCAUCAUAUGCUAAUUUACAAUUUUUGCUAUAUAUAUAAAUAUAAAUAAAUUAAAAGAAAUAUGAAGGUCUUUUUCCAAAAAAUUCUCAAAGAAAAGAAAAGAAAAGAAAGCUUCUACAUUUAAUUUUAAUUUUAAUUUAGUUAAAUUCAAAUAAUAAUAAAUAAAUGGAAGGGAAUACUCUCUCGUCUCGUCUUUCCCAUCGCGAGCGAGUGCUCUCUUAGUCUGCAAUGAGAUGGAAACUCUGUGAGCCCACCACUGCAAUGCUUGAUGGAUGUCCAAUUGUUUCUUGUUCAAGUUGUCCAACAUUGAUUGUGCCCCCUCUCAACUCACAGGAUCACAGCAAAAUCCUUCUUUGCUACAAGAAGUAUGCCACUCAUAAGGAUCAAUGGAAGCUCUACAAAUGGAAUUAUGAAGCUCGGAACGCAUUUUAGGAGCUUCUUCUGAUGAACAGUGAGUUAAGUCAGGACAUGAAGCAAUUUCUUUUUUCCUUAAGAUAAAUUCCAUAAGAUAUCAAAGAAAGCUGCACUCAUGUAUGUGGACAAGUGGUGCUCGAGCACUCAUUUUACAGAAGAUGUUGUAGAUGUUUGUUAAUUUACAAUAUUAUUUUAUGAAAA